rnacentral:rRNA from 1 species
UACAGAGGUGGCAAGCGUUGUUCGGAAUUACUGGGCGUAAAGGGCGCGUAGGCGGUCUUGUAAGUCUUGUGUGAAAUCCCUUGGCUUAACUGAGGAACUGCACGAGAUACUGCAAGACUUGAGAUCGGGAGAGGGAAGCGGAAUUCCGGGUGUAGCGGUGAAAUGCGUAGAUAUCCGGAGGAACACCGGUGGCGAAGGCGGCUUCCUGGACCGACACUGACGCUGAGGCGCGAAAGCUAGGGGAGCAAACGGG